UGUUUCACUUUGGCAGCUCUUCAGGUCAGGUUAGGUCAUGUGGGCCUAUCACAGUCAUGCUGAUUUCUCUCAGAAAGUACACCUGAGGCAACAUAUUCCGUGUGUAAAUUAUAUUUCAGUUAAUAUUUCAUACUUAUUUAGGAGUUAGAGUUACAGCAUCCACUUUGGGGGUUUCAGAUAUCUUCUUCAACACAAGAUCUUUAAACAGUGUUUCGGAGAGGGAGCUGGUUGGUAUCUGGGGGCCAUUUUGUGGUUGAUUAUGAGACUUGUUGACCUCAAAAUGCAACUAAACUCAAAGUGUGAUCACUGGGAUCUUCCUCUCUCAUCAUCUUCCUCACUGUGUGGGGGUACCGCAUGUGUCCCACCUUUUUUGAGAGGAAGGUUGCUGACAUCUGCAAUUCUUUCAAGAUGGAGUCCUCAGACACAUUAGGCAAUCCUUUCCCCAGACAACCCUCCCCCUCUCCCCACUCCCCCCAAUCACACAGACGAGACAAACAGCAGGAGGACUCGGUGACUCAAGCAUGAUGGCAGAGGAAAGGGAAUAUUCACACUGCAUUUUGCUCCAGAGUUGAACCUCUCCGGGGUCAAACACCUAUCAUCUGGAGGCCUGGAUGGGUGACCUCGCUCUUCUGAACCAUUUUUGGCUGACAGUGAAACAUGACCUCUGCUGACCUCAUCUGGACACAGGAGGCUACUCCCCCACAUCAUCAUAGUCCAUCCCCCAGGGAGCGGGUGGGGUUUCAGCCAGAACACUCU